CAUUAUUGAAAUAAACCUGAUGGGUUGUUGCUGGUUCCUUAAGGGACAUGUGCACACUUGUCAUCUUUAUAUUUCCACCUGUGCACCUUUUGUAGACCUGGAUAUUUUUUCUGAAUGCUAGCAUUCGGGUUUUGAGNAUUGACUUCACUGUCUCUUCUUACAUUUCCAGGCCUAUGUUUCUUCAUAUACCCAAUGUAUGUUACAGAAUGUAGUAAAUGGGCCUUUGUUGCCUCUAAAAUAUAUACAACUUUCAGCAACGGAUCUCUUGGCUCUCGCAUCGAUGAAGAACGCAGCGAAAUGCGAUAAGUAAUGUGAAUUGCAGAAUUCAGUGAAUCAUCGAAUCUUUGAACGCACCUUGCGCUCCUUGGUAUUCCGAGGAGCAUGCCUGUUUGAGUGUCAUUAAUAAUUAUCAAUCUCUUCAGCUUUUGCUUGUUGAGUAUUGGAUGUGGGGGUUAUUUUUUGCUGGCCCUCUUUUGAAGGUCAGCUCCCCUAAAAUGCAUUAGCGGAACAAUUUGUUAAUCUGUUCAUUGGUGUGAUAACUAUCUACGCUAUUGACGUGAGGCAAAGUUUCAGCUUCUAACAGUCCAUUGACUUGGACAGCUUUUCAUUAAUGUGACCUCAAAUCAGGUAGGAUUACCCGCUGAACUUAAGCAUAUCAAUAAGCGGAGGAAAAGAAACUAACAAGGAUUCCCCUAGUAACUGCGAGUGAAGCGGGAAAAGCUCAAAUUUAAAAUCUGUCAGUCUUUGACUGUCCGAGUUGUAAUCUAGAGAAGCAUUAUCCGCGCUGGACCGUGUACAAGUCUCCUGGAAUGGAGCGUCAUAGAGGGUGAGAAUCCCGUCUUUGACACGGACUACCAGGGCUUUGUGAUGUGCUCUCAAAGAGUCGAGUUGUUUGGGAAUGCAGCUCAAAAUGGGUGGUAAAUUCCAUCUAAAGCUAAAUAUUGGCGAGAGACCGAUAGCGAACAAGUACCGUGAGGGAAAGAUGAAAAGAACUUUGGAAAGAGAGUUAAACAGUACGUGAAAUUGCUGAAAGGGAAACGCUUGAAGUCAGUCGCGUUAUCCAGGGAUCAACCUUGCUUUUGCUUGGUGUACUUUCUGGUUGACGGGUCAGCAUCAAUUUUGACCAUUGGAAAAAGACCAGGGGAAUGUGGCAUCUUCGGAUGUGUUAUAGCCCUUUGUUGCAUACAAUGGUUGAGAUUGAGGAACUCAGCACGCCGCAAGGCCGGGU
rnacentral:rRNA from 1 species